GAUGAUCGCUGGCGGCGUGCCUAAUACAUGUAAGUCGAGCGAACGGACGAGAAGCUUGCUUUUCUGAUGUUAGCGGCGGACGGGUGAGUAACACGUGGAUAACCUACCUAUAAGACUGGGAUAACUUCGGGAAACCGGAGCUAAUACCGGAUAAUAUUUUGAACCGCAUGGUUCAAAAGUGAAAGACGGUCUUGCUGUCACUUAUAGAUGGAUCCGCGCUGCAUUAGCUAGUUGGUAAGGUAACGGCUUACCAAGGCAACGAUGCAUAGCCGACCUGAGAGGGUGAUCGGCCACACUGGAACUGAGACACGGUCCAGACUCCUACGGGAGGCAGCAGUAGGGAAUCUUCCGCAAUGGGCGAAAGCCUGACGGAGCAACGCCGCGUGAGUGAUGAAGGUCUUCGGAUCGUAAAACUCUGUUAUUAGGGAAGAACAUAUGUGUAAGUAACUGUGCACAUCUUGACGGUACCUAAUCAGAAAGCCACGGCUAACUACGUG
rnacentral:rRNA from 1 species